CAAGUUUUAUUGCCCAGUUCCUGCUCACAACCAGGGAACAGCUGUAAGUCGACAGAGCAAAUGAACAACAACUAGAAGGUAAGUGAAAAGAAUAGUAAAUGCAGGCCAUUCACGUGACAGGAUCCAAUUCAUUUUUAUGCCAGGGAGAUUUUUAAGUGGGACUUCUCCCAGUGGAGAGAUCACAGCGCUCAAGGCCUGGUUCACUAUAAAGACAAUACAUAAUUUAUUCAGAGUUUAUUAUUAUUUUUUAUCACUAGUUUACCAGUCACACAGAGUGAGGGCAUAGAUGAGAUCAGGGCCUAGUUUAUUGCUACGUAUUGUACAGUCUCCAAGUAAGAGCCAUAGAAAAAGAGCUAUCUGCUUUACAGAGCUGAUCCAGGCUGCGAGUUAAAAUGACUGGUCCUCAGCAGCAACGCUGGGAACCCAGCUUAGCACUCUUUAUCCCAGGAUGUGCUGCUUGUUGAUUUAAACAUCUUUUCUUUUUAUAUUUAUUCUGAAUCACUGAAAGGACUAAUUGAAUAAAUGCCAUUCCCUUUGGAGCACUCUUAAUUGUAUUUAUGGAGAACAGAUUAUAUAUUCUCUCAGUUUAGUGGAGAUAUUAAGAGUGAUACACUCAUCAAGAAAAACUGCACGUUGGGUGUGACUGAGAAUCUUGUGUUUUAUUCUGCAGUGCAAUCUUAACCUCUGGUUGUGGUAUGACAAACUAUGCAGGCGCUGGGACUACCAUGCCAUCCUAUUCUACUCUUUCAGGCUCCAAUCAGAAGUUGCAUUGGGAAGAAGCAGCUUCCAUGGAAAGACAUGAAUGAACAUGAAUAUUAUUCCAGGGACAUCAGUGAAUGCAGUGGAAAUUGUGCAAAAAUCAGGAGGUAGAGGAGUCCCGACAUCAGACUGGCACUGUGUACUCUAUGUGGAUCAAAGGCUCAAUAAAAUCUUAAGAUACAUCUCUACUACUGAUCACUCUUGCAAGCAUCUGAAGGUUACAGAGUGUCUAGAGAUACUGGACUCUUCCGAGAUGCUUUUAGGCUGCUUUGGAAACUAAUGAAAAGCAGCCCUCAUCGAACGGUGCUGGCCACUCUCACGGGAGGAUCUCUGUGUGAUACAGAACACUCGACUGGCUAUUAUGCCACUUGGUAAUCACUGGUAAUGGGACA
ensembl:lncRNA